rnacentral:rRNA from 1 species
AGUAACCUGCCUUGGAGUGGGGAAUAACAGUUGGAAACAGCUGCUAAUACCGCAUGAUGCAGUUGAGUCGCAUGGCUCUGACUGCCAAAGAUUUAUCGCUCUGAGAUGGACUCGCGUCUGAUUAGCUAGUUGGCGGGGUAACGGCCCACCAAGGCGACAAUCAGUAGCCGGACUGAGAGGUUGGCCGGCCACAUUGGGACUGAGACACGGCCCAGACUCCUACGGGAGGCAGCAG